rnacentral:snRNA from 1 species
AUACCUUUCUCGGCCUUUUGGCUAAGAUCAAGUGUAGUAUCUGUUCUUAUCAGUUUAAUAUCUGAUAUGUGGGUCAAUGACACACGAUAUUAAAUUAAUUUCUUUAGGGGGAGGGUCUGCUACAGUAGCUUGCUAUUGGGGCUCUCAAGUGUCGCCCAAGCGUUGCACUAUUGCAUGGGCCUGGCGCACCCCAC